AGCUUUCUGCUAAUGUGACUUUGGAAGUUGUCACCUCUAUGCAUGUGUACAUAUGCAUGACGAGAUGACUAUAGCCAUAAAACCUUAAAUAUGCUGGCUGACGCUGUGCACGGG